AAAGCAGUAGCUCAAAGUUAGAGCUUUCGCCUGAUAUGCGAAAAGACCCGGGUUUGACACCCGGCUGCUUCG
rfam:Toxocara canis scaffold1328, whole genome shotgun sequence.